rnacentral:rRNA from 1 species
GAGGUGGUGGCCCGCAUGCGCAGCAGGUUCGGGUUCUUAUCUUGCUCCGCAGCGUCGUCCCCAACAGACGCCAGGUGCACUCGCUCCGCUCCCCGCCGGGCUCUGCCAGCUAUCACCGCGACAGCAGCAACAGGCGCUCCAUCUCCCACCGCCGCGGCCAGCGUCCCUCCUGCCCCCGUGGCCGCCGACCACUUGAGCCUCCGACGCCGACGCGCUGCUGCAGGCACCACCACCACUGUUGAUGCCGCUACGCUGGUGCUACGCCGUCCCAUACCUCCGAAGGAGCGGACCCGAGCCCGCGCAGUCGUGCCGCAGCCCGGCAACGGCCACCGCAGCUCCGGCCGAGUGCGUGCCUGUCCCGCGGGUUCCCACUCGGCGGCGCCGCACACCCGCCCGACUCGGCCCGCAAGGUGGUGCUACGCCGCCCCUACUUUCGGCGGAGCGGCCCCGAACACCCCGUCGUGCCGCAGCCCGGCAACUCGUCUAGAAGAGGUAGGAGCUCAGGUUGAAGGACAAACCGCGCGUCCGCGACCUCGGCCGUCCCCGUACGAGACGCCCCGCGCGAGCGGCGCCGGCACGACCAUUCCGAGCUCGCGACUGACGCCCUCGACAGGCCCUUGGGGCUCCGGGCGCAUCACCUGAUAAAGUUCGUCCCAGGCCGCGGCCUACCAAGGACCGCCGACGCAACAAGCGCGCGGCCUACGGCCGCCUCCGCCGCACGCUGCAGCACCGGUUCUUGGCGUUCCACAAGAGGCCCGCGGUGCCGGCGCCACCCAAGAAGAGGCCCCGGCUACGUCCAAAACCUUAACGAACUUCAACAUGUCAAGUCUACAGGUAUGUGAAGUUACAUUAUGGGAGUCGACGAAAGGUUAGACUCUCAACUUAGCUUCCACACGUAAACUUGGGCACUUUAAUAAUAAAACAAAAAAGCAUAGAGUAGUCAAAAAACUAAGAAUCUAACUUCUCUAGGAUGCCUUAAGACGUUGUAGACUUAAACCAUCACAUAUAAUAAAAAGCCUCUCUCUACAGAGUUCUUGACGCGUGUGUUAACUCGCUCAGACUCUUUCCUCUCGAUUUUCCUAGCAAGGUAGUAUACGACUUUACCCGGACCUCUAUAUUAUUUAUAGAACUUCUUGUCCGUCGGGUCGAAGUGUACAAUUGAUCGACCAGCUUUUAACAACUUUGUAAAGCUUCGUUCGGCGAUUCGGGUUCAGAGCUUAGUCCUAACAGCAGCAAGCAGUCAAGGUUGAUCCUGUAACACCGCCGUUGCCACCCUAAACCCAGCCGCUCGACGUCCCUAAACGACCUGCGCGCGGUAGUGUACAGCUCGGUGUGUAUCACUGGCUACCACCGCCUAAUCUCAACCUUAGGUUCUCCAAACACACCAAAGUCAAUAGGCCACUAACCCGUUCUCGCCUCGUUGUCUCCGGCCGGUUCUUGUACUGGUCCCUAUUGUGUAGAACGAGCUAAAGGGCUCGCUGGGUUCCAACCAACGUAGGACGUACUGGAGUAUAACAAAUACUCUCAAAACACUACAAGAAAGAAAUCUCUUCAAAACACUAGAAUUAAGUACUCUGUAAACUGCACUAUGAUACACCGACAUUUGCAUUAGACGUUAAGUCUCGUUUGUCUCACUUGUUUGGUUCCUGUACUUCCAAUCAGGCAAUCACAGAAUGAAAAGAAAAACAUUAAGAUAGCAUGACAUAUCAAUCAUGUUUUAGUAGUUUAUAAGUCCUAUACAAAUGUUAAAACACUUUGACUUUACACGUUGUACAAGUCACCUGACCACUUAAUAUUAAAACACUUUGACUUUACACAAUGACUUUGGACUGGCCACUACUUGAUUGGCUAAGUGUGUUCCCGAACGACUAUUGUUGAACUCAACCGGCUCAGAGCGGCUCAACUCGCACCUCAUCUUCCACAGCUCACUUGAACUCAGUCACAGUAAGCGACAUUACUAGCGGGCCCGCCGGAACAUCGACAGAGUCUACCUCAAGUCCCCUUUCUGGUUCUCCUCCACGCUAUUCUAACUCGAAAGGUCUUAAAACCCCUCCACCGCGAACAGCGUGACGUUUUGAAAAUAAACAUAUACAACGUACGAUGAUGGAGGAUUAGUUAUACAGUAACUUUACUUCAUCUACGUCGAGAAGUAUCUAUAACAGUGUACAAGACCAAACGUCCAAUUUAUAAACUACGGGAGCAAAACCAUUACUCUCGUUACGUUAUAAGACUUCCAGUGUGUACACUCCCUUUGACCGUGCACAGAUAGAGAAUUCGACCUUUGACGUUAAACACAAGACUCGAUACUCGAGGUUUAUUUAAUCAAAAGAGAC